UACGUAGGGUGCGAGCGUUGUCCGGAAUUACUGGGCGUAAAGAGCUCGUAGGUGGUUUGUCGCGUCGUCCGUGAAAACUCACAGCUUAACUGUGGGCGUGCGGGCGAUACGGGCAGACUGGAGUACUGCAGGGGAGACUGGAAUUCCUGGUGUAGCGGUGGAAUGCGCAGAUAUCAGGAGGAACACCGGUGGCGAAGGCGGGUCUCUGGGCAGUAACUGACGCUGAGGAGCGAAAGCGUGGGGAGCGAACAGG
rnacentral:rRNA from 1 species